GUCAAAACAGACAAGGGUAUAUGGUGGAUGCCUUGGCAAUAUGAGCCGAUGAAGGACGUAGGAGCCGACGAAACUCCUCGGGGAGCUGGCAAACAAGCUUUGAUCCGGGGGUGUCCGAAUGGGGAAACCCAUCCUAAUGGAAGAUUAGGAUGCCUAUGCGCUGAGGAGCGCGUAGCGCGGGAACCGUGCGAAGUGAAACAUCUCAGUAGCACGAGGAAAAUAAAUCAAUCCGCACCUCACUAGCGUUCGGCGCAAGUUGAAAGUUAUUAAGUUCCAAGUUAUCAAGCCUGCAGGAAUGCAGCCGCUUUGAACUUAAUAGCUUGAUAACUUGCCGACACCGGGCGGUAGCGAGGUGCGGCGAGAUUCCGUCAGUAGUGGCGAGCGAAAGCGGAAACAUAUAGAUAUUUAUUCGUUGGAUUUGAUUAUAGUAUCCAGCGAAUAAAUAUUCUAUUAGCCCAAACCUAUCAAGUGUUUUCUUGGGUCGCAAGACUUAGGGAUUAAAGCUUACAGGCGUUGCUUGAUAGGUGUAAUAAGUUGAGGUGGUUGCGGAUCUGUAAAUCCGCAGGGAAAUUAUGUUUGCUGUGUAGCAGAACACGCCUGGAACGGCGGACCAAAGAGGGUGAUAGUCCCGUAUCGCGAAACACCUUGCAAUUUCCUCAUCUUUUCUUGAGUACAACCAGACACGAGAAAUCUGGUUGGAAGUCAGGUCGACUAAGAUCUAAGGCUAAAUACUCAUAUUGACCGAUAGCGAACAAGUACCGUGAGGGAAAGGUGAAAAGCACCCCGGAAGGGGAAUGAAAUAGUAUCUGAAACCAUAUACUUACAAGGAGUCGAAGCGCUAACCGUUUUCCGCAAGGAAAACGGCAGCGUAACGGCGUGCCUAUUGAAGAAUGAUCCAACGAGUUAAUCUUACGCGGCUGGUUAAGCUCCAACAAGAGCGAAAUCACAGUGAAAGCGAGGACAAAACGUCCGUAUUAGGAUAUUGAUCGUCCCGAUCAAGCAUCGGGACGCUACAAUUUCCUAAAAGUCGCGUGAGUUAGACCCGAAACCCGGUGAGCUACGCAUGGCCAGGAUGAACGUUAUGUAAAAGUAACGGGAGGUCCGGACCCACUAUUGCUGCAAAAAUAGGGGAUGAGCUGUGCGUAGGGGAGAAAUUCCAAUCGAACUGGGUGAUAGCUGGUUCUCCUCGAAAUAGCUUUAGGGCUAGCGUCGAGAGUUCCCAAGAGAGGUAGAGCACUGAAUCGAUCCCUGCUGCGCAAGCGGUAGGAUCGAACCAAACUCCGAAUUCUCUUUGGUCAAGAUCUCGGCAGUCAGUCCGUGGGCGCUAAGGUCCAUCGGACAAAUGGAGAAGAAUCCACACCAUCGUCUAAGGCCCCCAAAUCCUGGCUAUAGUGCAAAGGAUGUGGGGUUGCUCAUACAACCAGGAGGUUGGCUUAGAAGCAGCCAUCCUUUAAAGAAAGCGUAACAGCUCACUGGUCAAGCGAUCCUGCGCCGACAAUAUAUAGGGGCUAAGUCAGGUGCCGAAGACAUGGAUCAGCGCGUCUCACUAUCGUUCGACGCGCAAGUAGAAAGUGUAAGGUUAUAAAGUUAUAAAGUAACUGCGGAGACGCAGCCACUUUUAACUUUCAACUUUAUAAUUUGAUAACUUGCGCAGCGAGCGGCAGCGAGAUGCGCUGGUGGUAGAGGAGCGUUGUAUGCAGGCUGAAGCCGCAGCCGUAAGGCGCGGUGGACAGCAUACAAGUGAGAAUGUUGGAAUAAGUAAUAUAUAUAGAGGUGAGAAUCCUCUUCGCCGAAUAUCCAAGGGUUCCAGGGCAACGAUCGUCGUCCCUGGGUUAGUCGGUCCUAAGAGCAGGCCCCAAGGGGUAUGCCCGAUGGACAACACGGUUGAUAUUCCGUGACCGCUUAUAAGUUAUCUUGGGCGGGACGCAUCACGGUAGUGCGAGCGCUAUCUGACUAUUAGCGUCGCUGUCUUCGUAGCGUGGAAAUCCAGGCAAAUCCGGAUUUCCUAUGAGCUGCAUUGCUACCUCGCAAGAGAUGCGGUGCAAUUCUGUAAACGCGAAAGGACGGAGAAACCUGGCAACGGGAAUUCGCAUGAACCGAGGUGUCAAGAAAAGCGUCAAAGUUACGCUUAUAAGCGACCGUACCGUAAACCGACACUGGUGGAUGGGGAGAGAAUCCCAAGGCGUCCGGAACAAUGUUCGUUAAGGAACUCGGCAAAAAAGCAGGUGUACCUUAGGUAUAUACCUUUCCCUUUUAUAUGCUGGGUAAUGGAAAGUUUGGGGCGCAGUAUGGCAGGCGGACAGCCGCCGAGCAUGGCUGCCAGUGUGGACUGGCGGCGGUGUCGUAGUUGUCUAAGGAUAAUGACCUUAGCUUUACGGCUUAUGCAUGAGCCAAGCCCCUGGGCGGAGCAAUCCGCCCACAAAUUCUAGGAGGUAGUAUUACUCCCACAAUGGGGAUGAACCUGUAUUAUCAUCCCCUCCAUUACCCAGCAUAUUAAAAGGGACGCAGCGAAAGACCCCUCCCGACUGUUUACCAAAAACUUAGGUCCGUGCUAAAGCGCAAGCUGAUGUAUACGGGCUGAUGCCUGGCCAGUGUCAGAAGGUUAAACCCCUCGGCGAAAGCUAGGGGGCCAAGCCCUGAUGAACGCCGGCAGUAACUAUAACUGUCCUAUGGUGAACGAAUUUCCCGCUUUUUAAGCGGUUUUAGCUGCCAUAGUAAAACUUGGCUAAAUGCUGGAAACUCUGAUGAAUCUGACUGUACUAUGGUAUAAUGUAACCAUAGAGAAAUCUAUGGAAACAAAAUAUUAUACCAAGUAAAAAUCAAGUCAGUGCAGACAAUCAGCAGGAAAAGCUAAUUUACUGGAUUGUUGGGUUUGUUGACGGCGAAGGAACAUUUUCCGUAAGCUUCAACAAAAACAGCACUACGAGUUCUGGUUGGCAAAUUUUUCCCGAAUUUGUGAUUACUCAAGGCGCAAAAAGUUUAAACUCAUUGGAAGAAAUUCAAAAAUUCUUCGGUUGCGGUAAGCUUUAUGUAAAUCGCCGGAAAGAUAAUCACAAAGAAAAUCUUUACAGGUUCUGCGUAAGAUCCUUUAGAGAUUUAGAAGAAAAAAUUGUGCCAUUCUUUCAAAAGCAUCCAUUAAGGACUGCCAAGAAAGAAGACUUCAAUAAAUUUGUGCAAAUCCUUUCUUUAAUUCAGAAAGGAAUCCACUUAACCCCGAAAGGGGCAAGUGAAAUUGCAAGGAUUAUUGAAACCAUGAACCGUAAAAAACAAUCCAGAUAUUUGCUCUCCUCAGAGACUAUACGCCAAGCUUCAAUCUAAAAUUGAAGAAGAUAUAGUCCGACCUGCAUAGCGAUAUGCAGAGCAAAGCAGAAAUGACUUUGCCUGAUGAAUAAUCAUCAUGUAACACUUCGAGCGAAAUUCCUUGUCGCGUAAGUUGCGACCCGCACGAAUGGCAUAACGAGUAGGGGACUGUCUUAACGAACAUUCCGAUGAAUUUACAAUGGCGGUAAAGAUGCCGUCUACCCGCAGCAAGACGGAAAGACCCUAUGAAGCUUUACUAUAGCGUGUCAUUGAAAUUAGUUUUUUGUUGUUUAGCAUAGGUGGGAGCCUUUGAAUCCCGGCCGCUAGGCCGGGGGGAGGCAACAGUGAAAUACCACCCUGCAAAGAAUUGAUUUCUAACCACGGCUUAACCUACCGUGGGACAGUGGCUCGUGGGUAGUUUAACUGGGGCGGUUGCCUCCUAAAUGGUAACGGAGGCGUUUAUUAAGGUAUGCUAGGCGCGGAUGGAAAUCGCGUCGAUAGUGCAAACGCAUAAGCAUGCUUGACUGCAAGGCCGGCGAGCCGCGCAGGGACGAAAGUCGAAGUUAGUGAUCCGAUGCGUUCGAGUGGAAGACGCAAAGCCCAACGGAUAAAAGUUACUCUAGGGAUAACAGGCUGAUCCUCUCCAAGAGUCCAUAUCGACGAGAGGGUUUGGCACCUCGAUGUCGGCUCAUCACAUCCUGGGGGUGAAGAAGCUCCCAAGGGUUAGGCUGUUCGCCUAUUAAAGUGGUACGCGAGCUGGGUUCAAAACGUCGUGAGACAGUUUGGUCCUUAUCUGCUGUGGGUGUACGAAACUUGAGUGGUCGCAUCUCUAGUACGAGAGGACCGAGAUGCAUAGACCUCUGGUGUACCCGUUGUCCUGUCAAGGGCAUGGCGGGGUAGCUAGGUCUAGUUAGGAUAAGCGCUGAAGGCAUAUAAGCGUGAAGCCGUCCACAAAACUAGGUUUCGUUGCCUAGGAGCGAUC
rnacentral:rRNA from 1 species